rnacentral:rRNA from 1 species
AUGCAAGUCGAGCGGGGAGAGCCUUCGGGCUCUUCCAGCGGCGGACGGGUGAGUAACGCGUGACAACCUUUCCUUCACAGGGGAAUAACGCAGCGAAAGCUGUGCUAAUACCGCAUGAGACCACAAGAUCGCAUGGUCAAGGGGUCAAAGGAGCAAUUCGGUGAAGGGUGGGCUCGCGUCUGAUUAGCUAGUUGGCGGGGUAACGGCCCACCAAGGUAACGAUCAGUAGCCGACCUGAGAGGGUGAUCGGCUACACUGGGACUGAGACACGGCCCAGACUCCUACGGGAGGCAGCAGUGGGGAAUAUUGGGCAAUGGGCGAAAGCCUGACCCAGCAACGCCGCGUGAGGGAAGAAGGUUUUCGGAUCGUAAACCUCUGUCCUUGGUGAAGAGUAAAAGACGGUAGCCAAGGAGGAAGCCCCGGCUAACUACGUGCCAGCAGCCGCGGUAAUACGGAGGAUGCAAGCGUUAUCCGGAUUCAUUGGGUUUAAAGGGUGCGCAGGUGGGAAAAUAAGUCAGUGGUGAAAUACUGCCGCUUAACGGUAGAAUUGCCAUUGAUACUGUUUUUCUUGAGUAUGGUUGAGGUAGGUGGAAUGUGUUGUGUAGCGGUGAAAUGCAUAGAUAUGACACAGAACGCCGAUUGCGAAGGCAGCUUACUAAGCCAUUACUGACGCUGAGGCACGAAAGCGUGGGGAUCAAACAGGAUUAGAUACCCUGGUAGUCCACGCCGUAAACGAUGAUCACUAGCUGUUGGCGAUACACCGAUCAGCGGCAAAGCAAAAGCAUUAAGUGAUCCACCUGGGGAGUACGGCCGCAAGGCUGAAACUCAAAGGAAUUGACGGGGGCCCGCACAAGCGGAGGAACAUGUGGUUUAAUUCGAUGAUACGCGAGGAACCUUACCUGGGCUUAAAUGUAGAGUGCAUUGAGAGGAAACUUUCAUUUUCUUCGGAACUCUUUACAAGGUGCUGCAUGGUUGUCGUCAGCUCGUGCCGUGAGGUGUCGGGUUAAGUCCCAUAACGAGCGCAACCCUUAUCGUUAGUUGCCAGCGGGUAAAGCCGGGAACUCUAGCGAAACUGCCGGUGUAAACCGAGAGGAAGGUGGGGAUGACGUCAAAUCAGCACGGCCCUUAUGUCCAGGGCUACACACGUGUUACAAUGGCCGGUACAGAGGGCAGCUACCUGAUGACAGGAUGCGAAUCUCGAAAGCCGGUCUCAGUUCGGAUCGGAGUCUGCAACCCGACUCCGUGAAGCUGGAUUCGCUAGUAAUCGCGCAUCAGCCAUGGCGCGGUGAAUACGUUCCCGGGCCUUGUACACACCGCCCGUCAAGCCAUGGAAGUUGGGGGUACCUGAAGUCCGUAACCGUAAGGAGCGGCCUAGGUAAAACGCAGUGACUUGGGGUAAGU